AAUUUCAUUUAAAAACACGUGUAUUAAUUACUAAUACUAAGUUUUAAUAUCAUGUUUCACUGGAAAUUGAAUAAAUAGUUGGCUAAAUCAAGUGCUACAAGCUUAUAAAUGCAAAGGAAAUCUCACAAUGACGAGUGCAUUAAAGGUACAUAAAUGGAUUGAAUUCUUACUAACGUUCAAGGGCUUGGAUACAUUGUGAUGGCUACUAGCAUGAAAGCGUAGACUACCAUAGUAAAAACCGUCUCAGACAAGGAGCUUCGUAUAAUUAUGGUAGAACUUCACUUACAG